GACGAACGCUGGCGGCGUGCUUAACACAUGCAAGUCGAACGGAAAGGCCCUGCUUUUGUGGGGUGCUCGAGUGGCGAACGGGUGAGUAACACGUGAGUAACCUGCCCUUGACUUUGGGAUAACUUCAGGAAACUGGGGCUAAUACCGGAUAGGAGCUCCUGCUGCAUGGUGGGGGUUGGAAAGUUUCGGCGGUUGGGGAUGGACUCGCGGCUUAUCAGCUUGUUGGUGGGGUAGUGGCUUACCAAGGCUUUGACGGGUAGCCGGCCUGAGAGGGUGACCGGCCACAUUGGGACUGAGAUACGGCCCAGACUCCUACGGGAGGCAGCAGUGGGGAAUAUUGCACAAUGGGCGGAAGCCUGAUGCAGCAACGCCGCGUGCGGGAUGACGGCCUUCGGGUUGUAAACCGCUUUCGCCUGUGACGAAGCGUGAGUGACGGUAAUGGGUAAAGAAGCACCGGCUAACUACGUGCCAGCAGCCGCGGUGAUACGUAGGGUGCGAGCGUUGUCCGGAUUUAUUGGGCGUAAAGGGUUCGUAGGUGGUUGAUCGCGUCGGAAGUGUAAUCUUGGGGCUUAACCCUGAGCGUGCUUUCGAUACGGGUUGACUUGAUGAAUGUAGGGGAGAAUGGAAUUCCUGGUGGAGCGGUGGAAUGCGCAGAUAUCAGGAGGAACACCAGUGGCGAAGGCGGUUCUCUGGGCCUUUCCUGACGCUGAGGAGCGAAAGCGUGGGGAGCGAACAGGCUUAGAUACCCUGGUAGUCCACGCUGUAAACGGUGGGUACUAGGUGUGGGGUCCAUUCCACGGGUUCCGUGCCGUAGCUAACGCUUUAAGUACCCCGCCUGGGGAGUACGGCCGCAAGGCUAAAACUCAAAGGAAUUGACGGGGCCCCGCACAAGCGGCGGAGCAUGCGGAUUAAUUCGAUGCAACGCGUAGAACCUUACCUGGGUUUGACAUGGAUCGGGAGUGCUCAGAGAUGGGUGUGCCUCUUUUGGGGUCGGUUCACAGGUGGUGCAUGCCUGUCGUCAGCUCGUGUCGUGAGAUGUUGGGUUAAGUCCCGCAACGAGCGCAACCCUUGUUCACUGUUGCCAGCACGUUAUGGUGGGGACUCAGUGGAGACCGCCGGGGUCAACUCGGAGGAAGGUGGGGAUGACGUCAAGUCAUCAUGCCCCUUAUGUCCAGGGCUUCACGCAUGCUACAAUGGCUGGUACAGAGAGUGGCGAGCCUGUGAGGGUGAGCGAAUCUCGGAAAGCCGGUCUCAGUUCGGAUUGGGGUCUGCAACUCGACCUCAUGAAGUCGGAGUCGCUAGUAAUCGCAGAUCAGCAACGCUGCGGUGAAUACGUUCCCGGGGCU
rnacentral:rRNA from 1 species